rnacentral:rRNA from 1 species
UACAGGGGGUGCAAGCGUUGUUCGGAAUUACUGGGCGUAAAGCGUGCGUAGUCGGUAUUGAGAGUCGCGGGUGAAAUCCCAGGGCUUAACCCUGGAACUGCCUGCGAGACCUCAGUACUAGAGUGUGAGAGGGGAUAGUGGAAUACCCAGUGUAGCGGUGAAAUGCGUAGAGACCCGGAGGAACACCAGCGGCGAAGGCGGCGCUCUGGGCCGGAACUGACGCUGAGGAGCGAAAGCGUGGGUAGGAAACAGG